GCCUGGCUGGCUCAAUUGGUAGAGCAUGUGACUCUUGAUCUCAGGGUUGUAAGUUUGAGCCCCAUGUUGGGUG
rfam:Felis catus isolate Cinnamon breed Abyssinian chromosome B2, whole genome shotgun sequence.